rnacentral:rRNA from 1 species
UGGUCUUGACAUCCACGGAAGUUUUCAGAGAUGAGAAUGUGCCUUCGGGAACCGUGAGACAGGUGCUGCAUGGCUGUCGUCAGCUCGUGUUGUGAAAUGUUGGGUUAAGUCCCGCAACGAGCGCAACCCUUAUCCUUUGUUGCCAGCGGUCCGGCCGGGAACUCAAAGGAGACUGCCAGUGAUAAACUGGAGGAAGGUGGGGAUGACGUCAAGUCAUCAUGGCCCUUACGACCAGGGCUACACACGUGCUACAAUGGCGCAUACAAAGAGAAGCGAACUCGCGAGAGCAAGCGGACCUCAUAAAGUGCGUCGUAGUCCGGAUUGGAGUCUGCAACUCGACUCCAUGAAGUCGGAAUCGCUAGUAAUCGUGGAUCAGAAUGCCACGGUGAAUACGUUCCCGGGCCUUGUACACACCGCCCGUCACACCAUGGGAGUGGGUUGCAAAAGAAGUAGGUAGCUUAACCUUCGGGAGGGCGCUUACCACUUUGUGAUUCAUGACUGGGGUGAAGUCGUAACAAGGUAACCGUAGGGGAACCUGCGGUUGGAUCACCUCCUUA